ensembl:lncRNA
GGAGGGUUCAGGAUGGGGAACACAUGUAUACCUGUGGCAGAUUCAUUUUGACAUAUGGCAAAACCAAUACAAUAUUGUAAAGUUAAAUAAAAUAAAAUUAAAAUUAAAAAAAAAAAUAAAAAAGAAACCCCUCAAGACUGAGAGUUGCACCAGGCUCCUGUCCUACCACAUGCAUUCUGAGAUAGAAUUGGCAGAAGGGGAGUCAACUCUGGCCAUAAACAAUUGACAUGAGUCUUGAAGAAAGGCAGAUUUCCAAGCUAAUGCAUAACUUUAUUAACGUAGCUUAAGAACAUUUUCCUGAGUAAGAUGUAUUGUUUGCCGAGCCAUUAGCAACUCAAGGUUUGAGAAAUAGUUUCAGGUGAACCCAACUGUUUUCAUGGCAACACAGGAUCAAAGGAGCCUCCUUUAAUCCUGUGUAGAGAAGAGAAAAAAACAAACAAACAAAAAAAACAAGAGUCUGGCACUUGCAGCUUAUUUCCUCCUCCUGCUUGGGGGACCCUGGCCUCCCUAAUCAUUAGCUCUCUCAAUACAAAUGAAUUUAUUUAUGAAACAAACAGCCACACAGACAUAGAAGACAAACUUCUGGUUACCAAAGGGAAAGGGCCAGGAAAGGAUAAGUUAGGAGAUUUGGAUUAGCUAAUACAAACUGUUACUGUUGUUUAUUCAUUCAGGGAUGUCUGACUCUUUGCAAACCCAUGGACUGUAGCCUGCCAGUCUGCUCAGUCCAUAGUAUUUCUCAGGCAAGAAUACUGGAGUGGGUUGUCAUUUCCUUUUCCAGGAGAUCUUCCCGACCCAGAGAUACAAACUACUAUGUAUGAAAUAAACAUAUAAAAAGGUCCUACUAGAUAGCAUGGGAAACUAUAUUCAAUACAUGGUAAUAUAAUGGAAAAGAAUAGAAAAAAGAAUGUAUAUAGUUAUAUAAUUUAUAUUUAACUGCCUCACUUUGCUAUACCUUAGAAACUAACACAGCAUUGUAAAUCAAUUAUACUUCAAUAAAGUAUGAAGGAAAUGAGGUCCCGGUUUGCCAUUUUUAUUUGGAG